AAGUUGCUUAGAAAGGCUCCUUAGAGCGCCACGUCAUCCUUCCAUGUUCCUUUUUCCACCACGUGUCCUCUCACCCAAACGAUACUUCUCAUUGUUUCAUUACUUCCUUUCGUGUAUUGGACUUUAAUAAUACGCAGGCCUGUCGAAGCUCAAAAAUGGUUUGCCCCAUAUCUCAUCUUCUUCGUCGGCUGACAUACCGGACGUUUAGCCUCCAUGAAACCACCGUCAUAACAUUUCUCUUCAGAUUUCACCAUAAAGAUUUUCCUUUAUGUCCGUCCUUUCCAGCUAAUCCUACGACAUGCUGAUUUCUAAACAGUUCUCUAUCAGUGGGAAGAAUAUUGAUGUUUGAUUCUCUAUCAGCGGAAAGAAUGGUUUCAUGAUAUGUCGUCCUCUUCUUUGAUAUUGCUGUUUUGGUUCUGAAAAUUUCGCAGAGAUUCAGUCCCACAUGUAUUCCAUUUGAUUCGGUCUAUGAAUUUAUUGAUUCUUUUCGUUUUUGUUAGGGAAAAGUUAUUAAGUCAGGGCAUGCUGCCAAAUUGUUGAUAGAGGCGCUGCUUCAGCGGUUCUUGGCUCUCGCAAGACGAUGAAUUGAGGCUGCUCAAGCUCAGGGAGAAACUGUUACAAUAGAAGUACGAUCGUAAGGAUAUUUGGAACCUCCUCUGCAGCUGAAGAAAUCAUAAGCUUGACAGUUCAAUUUUCUUACACACAGCUCUUCAUGAUGAGACUUCGUCGACUCUGCUUCUGGUGAGUUUAGCUUUCAUUCAUAAACAGAGGAAUAACAAAGGAAAAGUUUGACUCUUGAGAUUCAAGUUCCGUGAGCUUCAGUAGAUACAAUAGGAUAUUAGACAGUACGAGUACAAGAAACAGGCGGUUAUAGCGUAAGAAGGGCAACAGCGGGUCGUGAUGGAGCUUGAUACGACAUGGAGUGUCAUUGCAGAUCUAAAACUGGAACUAGCAUUGGCCGAGCAAACCAAGACUCUCAUCUUGCAAAGCUUAGAGUGGAGGAAAUGGAGCAAGGGAUAACUAACGAGUCGAGUGUUGCAGCCAAAACACGGCUUGAGGUGGAUAAGCGAGACAUUUGUCAGCAGCUAGGAAAUGAAAGAGAAGAGAUAAAUGGUCUCUAACUUACAAAAGUUAAGUCCAAUAUUGAAAAAGCAAUUUAUGUCAUUUUAUAAGGAUUUAUGACAUCUAAAUGAUUUUAAAAGGUGUUUUUAAAAACUUUACAAAACGGUAUGAAUAUCAGAUUAGUUUGUAAAUGAUUUAUGAACUUUACAAAUGAUUUAGUAUCUUUUUAAAAAUAUUUAUAGAUCUUUA